rnacentral:rRNA from 1 species
GACAGAGGGUGCAAACGUUGUUCGGAAUUACUGGGCGUAAAGCGCGUGUAGGCGGUGAGGCAAGUCGGCUGUGAAAGCCCCGGGCUCAACCUGGGAAGUGCACUCGAUACUGCUUCGCUAGAGUCCCGGAGAGGAUGGUGGAACUCUCGGUGUAGAGGUGAAAUUCGUAGAUAUCGACGAAGAACACCGGUGGCGAAGGCGGCCAUCUGGACGGUGACUGACGCUGAGACGCGAAAGCGUGGGUAGCAAACAGG